GCUUGCUUUUGAUGACGAGUGGCGCACGGGUGCGUAACGCGUAUGCAAUCUACCCUUUACUGGAGAAUAGCCCUUGGAAACGAGGAAUAAUACUCCAUAGUAUAACAAUUUCGCAUGUUAUUGUUAUUAAAGCUUCGGCGGUAAAGGAUGAGCAUGCGUCCCAUUAGUUAGUUGGUGAGGUAAUGGCUCACCAAGACUUCGAUGGGUAGGGGGCCUGAGAGGGUUAUCCCCCACACUGGUACUGAGACACGGACCAGACUCCUACGGGAGGCAGCAGUGAGGAAUAUUGGUCAAUGGACGAAAGUCUGAACCAGCCAUGCCGCGUGCAGGAUGACUGCCCUAUGGGUUGUAAACUGCUUUUAUAUAGGAAGAAACCUCCCGACGUGUCGGGAGCUGACGGUACUAUAAGAAUAAGGACCGGCUAACUCCGUGCCAGCAGCCGCGGUAAUACGGAGGGUCCAAGCGUUAUCCGGAUUUAUUGGGUUUAAAGGGUACGUAGGCGGAGUUUUAAGUC
rnacentral:rRNA from 1 species